rnacentral:snRNA from 1 species
GCACUUACCUGGACGGGGUCAAUGGGUGAUCAAGAAGACCCAUGGCCUGGAUUAGUGGCCUCCAUUGCACUUGGGAGGAGCAUUGGUCCAUCAUCUCCUCUGAUAGGAGAAUGGAUGUCUAAAAUAUUUCAAAGCAUAUGUUUGAAUUUUGUUCAUGUUUGUGAGUGUUUGAUCAUAAUUUGUGAUAGAGGGGGUACGCGUCCACGCGGCCCUUG